rnacentral:lncRNA from 1 species
AUAACAUUAUUACAACUAGUCCUUAAGACAGAUCUAUCUAUAUAUGUACCCCACAAUAUAACAAAUUCAUACCGUAUGCACCUUUCCUGGAAGAAAGCAUCUUAAUGUUUUGAUUGCUUCAUCAAAGACAGAGAAGCUAAAAACAGAAAAAACAAAUAAACUAAGGUGAGUUGCUAUAAUGGUGUACAUACAAUAUUAUUAAUUAAUUCUUGUUCUUUUAUAUAUCAUUAUCUGAUGUAUAAAGUGUGUGUUAUUUUAUUAGCUAUAAAGAUGAUUUCUCCAUCAAGUCCACUGAAUAUUAACAACAUGGGAUUAGAAGAGAAAAAAAUGGAAAUUGAAAGAGAUUAUAAUCAAGAGUUAGAAGAUAAGUUACCAGUGGUAGUAGGUGAUGAAUUAAUAGAAUCAGAUGAAUCAUGGAGACAACACAUAACAGUGAGAGGAUUGUUUGUGAGUAUGAUGCUUGGCAUAAUCUACAGCAUAAUAGCAAUGAAAC